rnacentral:misc_RNA from 1 species
UCUCCGUAGGUGAACCUGCGGAAGGAUCAUUAACAAUAAGUGUUUUAUGGCACUUUUUAUAAAAGCCAUCUCUACCUUGGGUGCAACGUGAUGAGACCCUCUAUCGUUAGCUUUUAGGUGACGGAAGGUGGAACCUAUACAACUUACCAACAUCACCGUUAACUUAUUUCUCUGAUCAUUUGUAAUCACGAAUUAACAUAAUUGGAAAAUACAACUUUCAACAACGGAUCUCUUGGCUCUC